rnacentral:rRNA from 1 species
GGAAAGGCGCGCGAUACAGGGUGACAGCCCCGUACACAAAAAUGCACAUGCUGUGAGCUCGAUGAGUAGGGCGGGACACGUGGUAUCCUGUCUGAAUAUGGGGGGACCAUCCUCCAAGGCUAAAUACUCCUGACUGACCGAUAGUGAACCAGUACCGUGAGGGAAAGGCGAAAAGAACCCCGGCGAGGGGAGUGAAAAAGAACCUGAAACCGUGUACGUACAAGCAGUGGGAGCACGCUUAGGCGUGUGACUGCGUACCUUUUGUAUAAUGGGUCAGCGACUUAUAUUCUGUAGCAAGGUUAACCGAAUAGGGGAGCCGAAGGGAAACCGAGUCUUAACUGGGCGUUAAGUUGCAGGGUAUAGACCCGAAACCCGGUGAUCUAGCCAUGGGCAGGUUGAAGGUUGGGUAACACUAACUGGAGGACCGAACCGACUAAUGUUGAAAAAUUAGCGGAUGACUUGUGGCUGGGGGUGAAAGGCCAAUCAAACCGGGAGAUAGCUGGUUCUCCCCGAAAGCUAUUUAGGUAGCGCCUCGUGAAUUCAUCUCCGGGGGUAGAGCACUGUUUCGGCAAGGGGGUCAUCCCGACUUACCAACCCGAUGCAAACUGCGAAUACCGGAGAAUGUUAUCACGGGAGACACACGGCGGGUGCUAACGUCCGUCGUGAAGAGGGAAACAACCCAGACCGCCAGCUAAGGUCCCAAAGUCAUGGUUAAGUGGGAAACGAUGUGGGAAGGCCCAGACAGCCAGGAUGUUGGCUUAGAAGCAGCCAUCAUUUAAAGAAAGCGUA